rnacentral:lncRNA from 1 species
UUUUUUUUUUUCAGGGGAAGAGUUGGAGCUCUGCGCCUCUCAGUUUUGGGGGUGCAGGAGUUGUCUCUUGAGUCUGGGGGUGGGUGUCCCUGGGGUUUCUCCCCCGACUGCGAGGUCUGCCUUAUCCUCCUUGGCUUAUCGAGCUUCAAUGUCCUUCAGUGUGUGGGACGGUGGCCUCUCUCGGAUUUCAGCCGACAGAGGCGUAGUCCUCCGGGGGGAUCCCGGGCGGCCCCCCAAUGUGGAGAUGAGCGGAGGUGGGGCGCUGAGCGCCGCGGUGGGCGGGGUCUUGUUAAGUAGUCCAUUCUGGUGGCCCGCAGUAGGGCUGAUGCGAGGGUAGUGCAUACUAGGCAGGCCUGGUGUGAGCAGGCUCGGGUGUGGGAGGUGUCCAUCUAGAGAAGCGGGGUGCACAGGGUGCAACCGUGGGUGCUC